GGUUAGGGUUAGGGUUAGGGUUAGGGUUAGGGUUAGGGUUAGGGUUAGGGUUAUUUUUGUACUACCUCUUGGCGCCCGAGAAAAUACAUGGCUUCUAAAAAUAUACAAUUGGCGUCUGAGUAUCUACAGUGGCAUCUGAAAACCUACAAUUGGCGUCUGAGUUUCUACAAUGGCGUCUGAAAAGCCACAGAUGGCGUCCUAUUAUCUACAGCUCGGCGCCCGUAAAGCUACAUGCUACCCUAAAACUUACAUGUUGGCUUCUUUUCAUUUUACUCCUCUUAAAAGUAGAUUUCCUUCAAAGUUAUGGGCUGCCCAUUGGUUUUUACAGGGUGCUGUUGCCGAUCUGUGCCAUCACCGUUAAAUAGCUUUGUUCCUGACCACCACUGACAGGGCAUUUGACCGAGGCACUUUUCCGCCUGAAGUACUGGCCUGGUAUUCGGCUGUUUUCUGGUAUACAAUGACGUGCAAUGACAUGUGCUCGACCACCAGCACCAAAAAACUGAGGGUGAAGUGCAAAAAACUACCCCAACAUAAUGAGCAUCCAAUCCCGCUACUACCAGACACAUCAUCCGUUAGUGUGUCAGCUGGAUCAUCAUCCCUGAUCUCCAGUACCAGCGAUCAAACGGCGAGGGUGAAGUUCACCCAGGAAGAGAAGGAGGCAGUCCAGAAGCUUUUCGAGAGCUGGAUAGAAAAGGGUGACAUGCCUCGCAUAGGCGUGGUGAGGGACAUAGUCAAACAAAAUAAAAAACUAGCACGUUGCCUCUCUAACCGCUCUUUUCUCCAAGUGAGGGACAGAGUCCGCAACGCAAUCAAAGCUCAAACAAAAUCUACGUCUAUGUAGAUCAUCAACUAUUUCAUUCAUCUUUCUUUUUUCUUAGUUGCUUUCUUAAUGUAAUAUCCCUCACAAUGCCUAUGCAAGGCAUGUCACCCUUUUCUAUCCAGCUGUUGAUAUUCUAAUGAAAUGUUUAAGAAAUGGCAGUGCACACUUGUCAGUAAGUCUGAAUGUUUUGUAAAAGUAGUUUUUGUGAUUCUUCUUUCUAUUCUUGAUCUUUUACUUUUUACAUGAUGAUUAUGAUAUGCUUUUUAUAAAUAUGAAGGUACAAUUGUAUCAAUAAAAAUCUUCAAUUGUCAUUAAUAAAACACUUUGAGCAGGACAUAGGAGAUAGUUUUGUAUUAUGUCCGAACUAAAUAUGAGUUGAGUCAAAUCAAAAAAUCAUAAUUAUCUACAUUGGACGUAAAAAUGAUUGAGUUAUGGCAUUUUUUAACUUUUGUAUUGUUUCAUGAAACAGUUAUAUGCAUAACAUGAGCUGUAUUUCGAUUAGUGACAUGCCGCACUGUCAUAUGCUCGAUUUUCCUUAUGUGUAUUAUAUUAAAUAUAUAUUCCUGUACACUAUAAACAUAUUUUUAAAAAGAAUACCCGUUUUACCGGUCCUAAGCUUUGGAACGAUUUACCUGAAACUAUGAGGAAAUCUAUACUUCUAUUGGAAGCUUUAAAAAAUGUAUAAUUUUAAAUUACAGUGCAUAAGUAUUAGCCCUAUACCCGAUGAGGCUGACGAGUGUGUGUUUGUAUAUUGUAUAAGGGGAUGUGUAUAUAACCCAAUUAUAUUGUACUGGCACCAUGAAAGCUCUUGUGUUAUAAACAGCUUCGCGGGACUCGAACCCACCCAAGUAAAAUAAAAAAGAGUUUACAACACACAUGAAGCUAUAUACUAAAGUUAAUUAAUAAUAGCAGUUUGUGUCAUAUAUUUAAAAGAAUUUGCACUUUAAUUAUGCAAAAGAUUAAAUGUAUUUUCUUACACCGUAACGAAUGUUUCACAUCAUUGCUUGUAAUUCCAGUCCUUAAUUUCAAUUUCACAGUAUGAAAUAUGAGAUAAAAUGCACUUGAGAGAGAGAGAGAGAACAAAAACACAGGGAAAGUUGAAAUUGAGAUAGUGAGUGAAACCAAUAUGAUGGAAAGUGGCAGUUGAGAUAGAGAAUGCAAUAGAAAGGGG